rnacentral:rRNA from 1 species
GACGAACGCUGGCGGCGUGCUUAACACAUGCAAGUCGAACGGAAAGGCCCUGCUUUUGUGGGGUGCUCGAGUGGCGAACGGGUGAGUAACACGUGAGUAACCUGCCCUUGACUUUGGGAUAACUUCAGGGAACUGGGGCUAAUACCGGAUAGGAGCUACUGCUGCAUGGUGGGGGUUGGAAAGUUUCGGCGGUUGUGGCUGGACUAGCGGCUUAUCAGCUUGUUGGGGGGGUAGUGGUUUACCAAGGCUGUGACGGGUAGCCGGCCUGAGAGGGUGACCGGCCACAUUGGGCCUGAGAUACGGCCCAGACGCCUACGGGAGGCAGCAGGGGGGAAUAUUGCGGAAUGGGCGGAAGCCAGAUGCAGCAACGCCGCGAGCGGGAUGACGGCCUUUGGGGGGUAAACCGCUGUCGCCGGUGAUGAAGCGUUAGUGACGGUAAUUGGUAAGGAAGCACCGGCUAACUACGUG